UACGGGGGGGGCAAGCGUUGUUCGGAAUUACUGGGCGUAAAGGGCUCGUAGGUGGCCGACUAAGUCAGACGUGAAAUCCCUUGGCUUAACCAGGGAACUGCGUCUGAUACUGGAUGGCUUGAGUUCGGGAGAGGGAUGCGGAAUUCCAGGUGUAGCGGUGAAAUGCGUAGAUAUCUGGAGGAACACCGGUGGCGAAGGCGGCAUCCUGGACCGACACUGACACUGAGGAGCGAAAGCCAGGGGAGCAAACGG
rnacentral:rRNA from 1 species